GUCAUCAUUUAGACCCAGAAGAAGCAAGAUCAGAAUGCCUCACUGAUAAAAGUCCUGUAAAUUCUAGGAGUCCAUGAUUAUCUUAAUGCAGACGAUAGUUUUUCUGUUUCUACAAUGGUCCUGGCCUUCUCAAGUUCUGUGAGUCUUCGAAUAGCAAGGAGCAUGCUGCAGCUUUGCGUUUCCAUGGGAACCCUCUCACUAAGCUGAAACUGAAAGAAGCUGAAAUACCAGAAACCAUAUUCUCAAGAAACCAGAUAACUGCAGCUCUUCCUCCACAUCAAGAAAACUUCUGUUGUUUUGCAACAGAUGGAGGCCAUUACAGAAAACCACAUCCAGGCAAAAUGCUGAGUUGUGGACCCAGUCCCAAGAGCAACAUCUACAAGACCCACACCUAAGCUCUUGAAUCAUGGUAGAAAAGUAGGCAGAACGAUUCUAAGAACCAGAGAAACAGAAAAUAUGCUGCGAUAUUGUAUCGCCUAGGAGUGUCAGAAGAACAACCAGGAAGACUCAACCUGGCUGCCUAAACAUGACCUGAACAAAAAUGGCUUCAAUAGGCAUGUCAGUGUAGAAGCAGGACAGCUCAUGACGCCUCAACC